AACGGAGAGCACAGUGACGUCAGCCGCUCGUGGCCGUCCUCCCCUCCUCAGGCACCACAUACGGGUCCGGAUCCAGGUUCCCGCCGGGGUUAUGAUCUGGCCGCUGUAGUUCCCACGCGUCCCCACCAGCUAACGUGAUUCUUCUCCCCCGGGGCGGGGAGAGUGCUGCUAACUGCUUUAUUCCGUUUCAUCUUCACGGUGACGCCAGCAGUCCCCCUCACCUGGGGUGCACAGGGUCACACAGUUGCCGUGCCCUUGGAAAGGCUGCCCUGAGGCCCAGUAUUGAAAAUUCCAGCAGCUCCCAUCGGUCCAUCGAAACCUCCGACACAUGAACUAAAGUGAUAGACUGGGACCAUGGACAAUGCCAAAGGCCCUACUUGAACCUUCCUAGAGCCAUCUGGAGCUAAUCCUGGAUCUCCUUGGUGUUGGCACCCAGCCCAAGGCUGAACCCAGAAUAGCGUUCCAGAGUUCCACCAUCUUUGAAUUCAGCAGACUGUCAUAGAAUGGCAGCUACAAUGGACCUCGGUUUGAUUUCCAUCUUUCUCAACUAACUGUGCGAACUUGAGCAAGUGGCUUCUCCAAUCUGGGCCACACUCAAAAAACUAAAGCUCUUGAUUCACCUCUAA